rnacentral:rRNA from 12 species
GCAUCGAUGAAGAACGCAGC